CUCCUUGGCUCGGAGUCUGCAUGGUUCUGAAGGAGUUCCCCCCACUCUGUGCUGCACCCUGGAAACUCAAGGCCAUAAGGUUUUUUCAUACAACAAAAGUAUUAUCUGCAAAUAUUAUAAGUUAAGGAAAUUAAUGAGGAGAAGGUGCCAUCCUUUCUGCAACCUCUCAGGAACAGGGUGACUGCAGGCGACAGCAAAGCAAUGCCCAUGCAGAGGGCCAAGCAUACCAAAAUUCUUGUUGCGAACAAAAGAAUGUGUCUAGAUCUUACACCCCAGCAAUAUGGAUGGCAAAGUUGACGUCAUGAACGUUUGAAGAUGAACUUUGGGUCUACAUAGGAGGAAAACCUGCAGAUAGAGCCCAGCCUUGACUUUCACCAGUAUCCAUUUUGUAACUCUAUAUAUCCUGAUUCUCAUUUUCCUACAUUGAAUUAUUUCUGGAAAGAAAUGUGCCCCAGGGGUCUAAUGUUCUGCCAGGAUGGAGAGGUGGGGCCAAAUGCAGCUUUUCUCCUUGACUUCAAUCUGUCAAGGUGUUCAGUUCUCAGAGUUGCUCCACGACUAAGAGAACUGGAAGGUCUCGGUGUUCCUUAUUAGGAAUUUCUCAGAUCCUUGAGAGCCUGAGGCACACACCCAACUCAUUUUGAAAUAAAGCUAAACUUGAAUUUUGAUCAUCAACUUCAUUUUUUUUAUUGUUUAUUUUCUAUGUGGCCUUCUAUCUCCAGCUUCAUAUAAUCAGAAAGCAAUAGAACUUUCAUACUAAGAAGAAAAUAAAAUAUGAUCUUGAAUUUGAUAAAGAAAAUAAGCAGUUUGCCUGGAUCCUUCUAUAAUUUGUUCAAUGAAUUAAUUCUCUCCAUAACAGGUAGGGCCAAUGCUGGUGAUGACAGAUUGUCUAGCUGCAAAUAAACAUCAAAAUGCAAAGGAAGAUAUUGAUUGUAUUUAUUGUGCUGAUCAUUUAUGACAUAUGCGAAUGUCAAAUCAAUACAUUGUACAUCUGAAACUAAUAUAAUGUUACAUCAAUUCUACCUCAAUAAAAAAAUGUAAUGCAAAGGGAGAAUGGUAUUACACCUAAAGAGUUAAAGUACCAACAGGCUAUCUUUUCUUUAUGUUAUAAAUUUAAAAUUAUGUAUAUUUUUAAGGCCUCAGAAAAUGUUCAGUUAAUAUGUAGAAAGUUUAUAUGUUAGGCUCAAGGCUUUUUGUGUCACCCACUAACUGGGA